AUGAACGCUGGCGGCGUGCUUAACACAUGCAAGUCGAACGAAGCAUCCCUCCCGAAGAAGCGGAAGUGCUUGCACCGAAGUGGAUUCAUUGGGAUGACUAGUGGCGGACGGGUGAGUAACGCGUGGGCAACCUGCCCCAUAGAGGGGGACAACAGUUAGAAAUGACUGCUAAUACCGCAUAGGAAGAAACUGACGCAUGUCAGUUUCUUGAAAGCUUUUGCGCUAUGGGAUGGGCCCGCGUUUGAUUAGCUAGUUGGUGAGGUAACGGCCCACCAAGGCGACGAUCAAUAGCCGGCUUGAGAGAGUGAACGGCCACAUUGGGACUGAGACACGGCCCAAACUCCUACGGGAGGCAGCAGUGGGGAAUAUUGCACAAUGGGGGAAACCCUGAUGCAGCCGACGCCGCGUGAGUGAAUGAAGUAUUUCGGUAUGUAAAGCUCUAUCAGCAGGAAAGAUAAUGACGGUACCUGACUAAGAAGCCCCGGCUAACUACGUGCCAGCCGCCGC
rnacentral:rRNA from 1 species